rnacentral:rRNA from 1 species
GAUGAACGCUGGCGGCGUGCCUAAUACAUGCAAGUCGAGCGAACAGAUGAGGAGCUUGCUCCUCUGACGUUAGCGGCGGACGGGUGAGUAACACGUGGAUAACCUACCUAUAAGACUGGGAUAACUUCGGGAAACCGGAGCUAAUACCGGAUAAUAUAUUGAACCGCAUGGUUCAAUAGUGAAAGACGGUUUUGCUGUCACUAUAGAUGGAUCCCGGCCGGAUUAGCUAGUUUGUAAAGUAACGGCUUUACAAGGGAAAGAUGCGUAACCGACCUGAGAGGGUGAUCGGCCACACUGGAACUGAGACACGGUCCAGACUCCUAAGGGAGGCAGCAGUAGGGAAUCUUCCGCAAUGGGCGAAAGCCUGACGGAGCAACGCCGCGUGAGUGAUGAAGGUCUUCGGAUCGUAAAACCCUGUUAUUAGGGAAGAACAAAUGUGUAAGUAACUAUGCACGUCUUGACGGUACCUAAUCAGAAAGCCACGGCUAACUACGUG